rnacentral:rRNA from 1 species
UAGGGAAUCUUCGGCAAUGGACGAAAGUCUGACCGAGCAACGCCGCGUGAGCGAAGAAGGUUUUCGGAUCGUAAAACUCUGUUGUUAGAGAAGAACAAGGACGUUAGUAACUGAACGUCCCCUGACGGUAUCUAACCAGAAAGCCACGGCUAACUACGUGCCAGCAGCCGCGGUAAUACGUAGGUGGCAAGCGUUGUCCGGAUUUAUUGGGCGUAAAGCGAGCGCAGGCGGUUUCUUAAGUCUGAUGUGAAAGCCCCCGGCUCAACCGGGGAGGGUCAUUGGAAACUGGGAGACUUGAGUGCAGAAGAGGAGAGUGGAAUUCCAUGUGUAGCGGUGAAAUGCGUAGAUAUAUGGAGGAACACCAGUGGCGAAGGCGGCUCUCUGGUCUGUAACUGACGCUGAGGCUCGAAAGCGUGGGGAGCAAACAGG